rnacentral:rRNA from 1 species
CGGUGGAUUAGGCAUGCAAGUCGAACGGUAGAUAUCCUUCGGGAUAUUGAGAGUGGCGAACGGGUGAGUAACACGUAGAUGAUCUACCCUCAAAGUGGGGGACCAACCCAGGGAAACUUGGGCUAAUACCGCAUGAGUGCAGCGCAUAAAGCAUCGUUUAGGUGGGUGUUUUAUGCGUUGCAAUAAAAGGUGGCCUUCGGGCUGUCGUUUGAGGAUGAGUCUGCGUCCUAUUAGUUAGUUGGUGAGGUAAUGGCUCACCAAGGCGAUGAUAGGUAGGCGGCCUUAACGGGUGGCCGCCCACACUGGGAUUGAGAUACGGCCCAGACUCCUACGGGAGGCAGCAGUCGAGAAUAGUCUACAAUGGAACGAAAGUCUGAUAGUGCGACGCCGCGUGAACGAAGAAUCCCUUCGGGGUGUAAAGUUUUCUUUUAUAUGUGAGCAAUGCUUUUUAUGUGAAUAGCAUGAGAAGAGAGAUAUUAGCAUAUGAAUAAGCAACGGCUAACUCCGUGCCAGCCGCCGC